AUAAACGCUGCGGCGCACAUAAGACAUGCAAGUCGAACGGAAGUCGUUAUAAAAUGAAUUGAAGAUUUAUCUGAUUGAAAUUUUAUAACAAUGGCUUUAGUGGCGGACUGGUGAGUAACGCGUGAGCAACCUGCCUAUUAGAGGGGAAUAACAGUGAGAAAUCAUUGCUAAUACCGCAUAUGCCAUAAUCAUCACAUGAUGGAAGUGGGAAAGGAGUAAUCCGCUAAUAGAUGGGCUCGCGUCUGAUUAGAUAGUUGGUGGGGUAACGGCCUACCAAGUCAACGAUCAGUAGCCGGACUGAGAGGUUGAACGGCCACAUUGGGACUGAGAUACGGCCCAGACUCCUACGGGAGGCAGCAGUCGGGAAUAUUGCGCAAUGGAGGAAACUCUGACGCAGGGACGCCGCGUAUAGGAAGAAGGUCUUCGGAUUGUAAACUAUUGUCGUUAGGGAAGAAAAAGGACAGUACCUAAGGAGGAAGCUCCGGCUAACUACGUG
rnacentral:rRNA from 1 species